UACGUAGGUGGCAAGCGUUGUCCGGAUUUACUGGGCGUAAAGGGCGUGCAGGCGGUUUGUUAAGUGCAGGGUGAAAGCUCCCGGCUCAACUGGGAGAGGUCCUUGCAUACUGGCAAACUCGAGGGAGGCAGAGGAAAGUGGAAUUCCCGGUGUAGUGGUGAUAUGCGUAGAUAUCGGGAGGAACACCGAUGGCGAAGGCAGGUCUCUGGGCCACUACUGACGCUGAGAAGCGAAAGCAUGGGGAGCGAACAGG
rnacentral:rRNA from 1 species